GUUUUAAUAGUUUAAUUAAAAAUCUUAGUCUUGUAAACUAAGGAUAGGUAAAUACCUUUAAAACA
rnacentral:tRNA from 1 species